rnacentral:rRNA from 1 species
AGUGAACGCUGGCGGCGUGCCUAAUACAUGCAAGUCGAACGGAGUGGCGCACGGGGGAGAUAUAUAUAGCUACUCUGCCCCUUGCUGGAGGGCAACAGUUAGAAAUGACUGCUAAUACUCCAUAGCACGGGAUGAGACUCUAUCUGAUCAGCUAGUCGGUGGGGUAACGGCCUACCGAGGCUAUGACGCGUAACUGGUCUGCGAGGAUGAGCAGGCACAUUGGAAGUGAGACACAGUCCAAACUCCUACGGAAGGGAGCAGUAGGGAAUAAUGCGCAGUGGGGGGAGACCUGAAGGAGCAACGCCGCGUAAAGGAUGACAAUUUUCGAAGCGUAAACUCCUUUUGAUAGGGAAGCGGUACCUAACGAAUAAGCACCGGCUAACUCCGUGCCAGCCGCCGCGGUAAUAC